rnacentral:rRNA from 1 species
CGCUUAAGGAUAAGAAUUUUAGGUAUCACCUGCUCCAUGAAUUAUAUUAAAUAGCUGUAGUAAUACACUAAGGUAGCAUAGUCAUUAGUUUAUUAAUUGUAAACUGGAAUGAAGGGUUGGACGGAUAAGGUUUAUAAAGUCAGCUUAAAUUUAAUUUUAAUUUCUGGUAAAAAUGCUAGAGUUUGUUUUGGGGACGAGAAGACCCUAGAAGUUUGUUUAAAGUUUUUGAUUAAUAUACUUUAUUUUGGUUGGGGCAACUCUUUAAGAAUAAUUAGUUUAAAGAUAAAACUAUGGAUUAACAGAUCCGUUUUUAACGAAUAUUAGGAAAGUUACUCUAGGGUUAACAGCAUAAUGAAAGUUUGAAAGAUCAUAUUAAUAACUUUGGUUAUGACCUCGAUGUUGAAUUAUUUUCCUUUUAGGAGUAGAGGCUUAAGUAGGGGGUCUGUUCGACCUUUAAAUAAAUA